GGACCGGUGGGGGCAGCAGCCAGCUGGCAGUGUACUGAGGAGGUGAGGAAAGGAAGGCAGUGAACGUGAAUAACUUUCCCAAGAAGUUUGGCUGCACAGGGAAAGAGAGAGAGAGGCAAGACCGUAAUUAGAGUGCCAGUUAGAGGGCUGGAAUUUCCUUGCAGAGGCUCAUUCCUGACCACAGCUGGCUCCAUCCAGAGAUGCUUGACUUCGCCCACCCACUAGGGCUGCUACUUGUCCUUCUGUGAGGUGAAGGUCUGUUGGCCACAGUAAGCCUCUGACAGCCCCAAGCCUCCAUUUGGAAGCUUGAGAUCAGCUGGCCCUGCCAUUGCUUACAUCCUGUCAUCCUUGGCAGACCUCAAUGGGCAUCCACCCUUCUCCAGUGCUUCCUCUUCCUGACCACCCUUGCACUGCUCCCCACCUCCCCCUUGGACCACCUUCGGCUCAGAUCGUCCUCGCCUCUCUUUGCUGGUCUGAAACCUGGCUCUUCCCUGAGGACACUUCCUUUAAAGAGGCCACUGCCCAGUGCUCUGAACCUGCCCCCACUCAUCUCUAUCCGUGAAAGGUACUGAGCUCCUGCCAUCAAUCCAUCACUAAGGGGAAAUUUGGAGACAGACUGGCACACAGGGAGAACACCAUGGGAACAUGAAGACAGUCAUCUACAAGCCAAGGAAAGAGGCCCGGAACAGAUUCUCUCACAGCCCUCAGAAGGGACCAGCCCUGCUAGCACCUGGAUCUCGGUCUUCCAGCCUCCAGUACUGUGAGACAAUAAAUUUCUGUUGUUUA
rnacentral:lncRNA from 1 species